rnacentral:rRNA from 1 species
UACCAGCACCCCGAGUGGUCGGGACGUUUAUUGGGCCUAAAGCAUCCGUAGCCGGUUCUACAAGUCUUCCGUUAAAUCCACCUGCUCAACAGAUGGGCUGCGGAAGAUACUAUGGAGCUAGGAGGCGGGAGAGGCAAGCGGUACUCGAUGGGUAGGGGUAAAAUCCGUUGAUCCAUUGAAGACCACCAGUGGCGAAGGCGGCUUGCCAGAACGCGCUCGACGGUGAGGGAUGAAAGCUGGGGAGCAACCGG